AAGCGGAGGAAAAGAAACUAACAAGGAUUCCCCUAGUAGCGGCGAGCGAAGCGGGAAGAGCUCAAAUUUAUAAUCUGGCGCUUUCGGCGUCCGAGUUGUAAUCUCUAGAAGUGUUUUCCGCGUUGGACCGCACAUAAGUCUGUUGGAAUACAGCGGCACAGUGGUGAGACCCCCGUUCACGGUGCGGAUGCCCAAUGCUUUGUGAUACACUUUCGAAGAGUCGAGUUGUUUGGGAAUGCAGCUCAAAUUGGGUGGUAAAUUCCAUCUAAAGCUAAAUAUUGGCGAGAGACCGAUAGCGAACAAGUACCGUGAGGGAAAGAUGAAAAGCACUUUGGAAAGAGAGUUAACAGUACGUGAAAUUGUUGGAAGGGAAACGCUUGAAGUCAGACUUGCUAUUCGGGGCUUGCUCCGAGUUGCAGGCCAGCAUCAGUUUUUCGGGGCGGAAAAUCACGGAUUGAAGGUAGCAGUUUCGGCUGUGUUAUAGCUUUCCGUUGGAUACGUCCUGGGGGACUGAGGAACGCAGUGUGCUUUUAGCGAGGGCUUCGGCUCUUUCACACUUAGGAUGCUGGUGGAAUGGCUUUAAACGACCCGUCUU
rnacentral:rRNA from 1 species